AAAUAGGCACCUUAAUCAUUUUUAUGGAUUGUAAGAAUUUAUCAGUUUUAUGCUUUUUUCUAGACACUGAGAAUAGAAAUGGCAUUGCUGUGGGGCAGAAGAAAUGAGGUUUUCAAACCCUGUUGUGAAGAUGAGCAGGGUCCAGGAAAGUGCACAACAAGGGAGAAGUGAUGGGCUAUGUAGGCCUGUGCUGGAGAUUCAGUGGUCACGGGCAAUUGGACGAAAGGUGUGUCCCU
rnacentral:lncRNA from 1 species